GUUAGGGGGAUUGUUGUCUGGCUCGGUGUCUCCGGUCGAGACGGCCUUGCCGGCGCCGGAGCUGUCGUCGACCGGAGAUCUCGGACCAGGCUUCAAUCCCUUUAAC
rfam:Zea mays cultivar B73 chromosome 4, whole genome shotgun sequence.